UACGAAGGGAGCUAGCGUUGUUCGGAAUUACUGGGCGUAAAGCGCACGUAGGCGGUCAGCAUAGUCAGGUGUGAAAGCCCCGGGCUCAACCCGGGAACUGCACUUGAUACUGGUUGACUAGAGUUCGGGAGAGGAGAGUGGAAUUCCCAGUGUAGAGGUGAAAUUCGUAGAUAUUGGGAAGAACACCAGUGGCGAAGGCGGCUCUCUGGUCCGAUACUGACGCUGAGGUGCGAAAGCGUGGGGAGCAAACAGG
rnacentral:rRNA from 1 species